GGGCCCAUAGCUCAGCGGUUAGAGCUGCCGCCUCAUAAGCGGUCGGUCCCAGGUUCGAAUCCUGGUGGGCCCA
rnacentral:tRNA from 1 species